UACAGGGGGUGCAAACGUUGCUCGGAAUCAUUGGGCGUAAAGCGCACGUAGGCGGUCUGUUAUGUCGGAUGUGAAAGCCCUUGGCUCAACUGAGGAAGUGCAUCCGAAACUGGCAGGCUAGAGUACGAAAGAGGAUCGCGGAAUUCCCGGUGUAGAGGUGAAAUUCGUAGAUAUUGGGAAGAACACCAGUGGCGAAGGCGGCUCACUGGCCCGUAACUGACGCUGAGGUGCGAAAGCGUGGGGAGCAAACAGG
rnacentral:rRNA from 1 species